rnacentral:rRNA from 1 species
AGCGUAGGUGGCAGAUCAAGUCUGGAGUAAAAGGUAUGGGCUCAACCCGUACUGGCUCUGGAAACUGAUCAGCUAGAGAACAGAAGAGGACGGCGGAACUCCAUGUGUAGCGGUAAAAUGCGUAGAUAUAUGGAAGAACACCGGUGGCGAAGGCGGCCGUCUGGUCUGGAUUCUGACACUGAAGCACGAAAGCGUGGGAGCAAAUA